GGAGAGGUGUCCGAGUGGUUGAAGGAGCUCGCCUCGAAAGCGAGUGGGCCCAUCGGGUCCCGGGGGUUCGAAUCCCCCCCUCUCCG
rnacentral:tRNA from 1 species